UAUUUGGCUCAGCCCUGGUUUUUGAGGGAAAAUGUGUCGUUUUCGUUUGCAGAUUUUCACUGGGAUUGCUUUUUAUUUUAGUCUGUCUAGAGUACCGUUUGAAGAUUUGUGUUUGGAGAAACGCUACAGUAAAAACUGGUCGUCCAUUGGCUGAUUUUUGAUUAACGUGUUAAGUUAUUUUAAUUUAAUAACUAAAAUGCCACGGUCCAAGAAGCGGAAUAAUAGACAAGGAGGGCAGCACAGAAGUGUACAACCUUUCAGUGAUGAGGAGGCGUCUGUGGAAACGCUCAGUCACUGCAGCAGUUUCAGUGAUUCUGCCAGUACAGUGGAGGAAGGAGGUGAUACUUGUGAGGAGUCAACUCAGGAGGACUUUGAGUAUAAGCUAAAGGGACUCAUUGACUGUACAAUGGAUAAAUGUGCUAAGACCCGGCAGAGUGCCGUUGAAGGACUGAAAACUGCCAUGGCAAACAAACUAUUGUACGAGUUUAUCCUGGAAAGGAGAAUGACCCUAACAGACAGCAUUGAGCGCUGCUUAAAGAAAGGUAAAGGUGAUGAGCAGCGUUCAGCAGCUUCUUUAGCUUGUCUUCUCUGCAUUCAGCUGGGGUCAGGGAUUGAAAGCGAAGACGUUUUCAAAACUCUUGAACCUCUUUUGAAGAAUAUUCUCACGGAUGGAUCAGCCCCUAUACAAGCCCGACAGGCAUGUGCAACAAGUUUGGGAAUUUGCAGUUUAGUUGCAGCUGCUGAUGUUUUGGAUUUGUAUGCAACUUUGGAGUGCUUUGAAAGUCUCUUCACUAAGUCAUAUGUAAAGGGAGAUGGAACUCCUAGUACCUUCAAUGCCCAAACUACAGUACUCCACAUCAACUGUCUUUUAGCAUGGGCACUCUUGCUGACCAUUUGUUCCAACACAGAAGUGAAAAAAAUCCUAAACAAACACUUGCCUAAAUUACCAAGUCUGUUGGACAGUGAAGAUGUAAAUAUGAGAAUUGCUGCUGGCGAAACAAUUGCUCUUCUCUUUGAAUUAGCCAGAGAAAUGGAUCCUGAGUUUGAAUUUGAAGAUCUGGAACUUUUCUGUACAAAACUCCGAACUCUUGCUACAGAUGGGAACAAGCACAGGGCCAAAACUGAUAAAAGGAAACAAAGAUCAGUUUUCAGAGAUGUCCUAAGAGCUGUAGAGGCAAGAGAAUUCCAUGAUGAAAUUAUUCGUUUUGGAACAGAACGCAUGUACAUAGACAGCUGGGUGAAAAAGAGGACAUAUGAUGCCUUUAGAGAAUUUGUUGGGUCAGGAAUGAAUUACCAUUUGCAGGCUAAUGAAUUCAUAAGAAGUAUAUUUGAGCUUGGACCCCCAUUGAUGGUUAAUGCUACAACACUAAAGGCAAUGAAAAUCUCCCGUUUCGAGAGGCAUUUGUACAAUGCAGCUGUAUUCAAGGGCCCGCACUAAAGCCAGGAGCAAGUUUAGAGACAAAAGGGUGGAUUGUGGUGAAUAUAUUUAAAAUAUGACAGACUGAAGAUAUGUUUGUUGUUGCCCACCUAAUGAAGGAGGAAAUUCAAACCAAGUACAUAUUUAUUCAAAAUCUUAAGUAUUUGUUUAUAUAUAAAAGUUGAAUUUUGUAGACUACAAUUUUUAUAAUUAUGAUUUCUCGUAUUCACACCUAAAACUAGUCUAUAUAUUGAAAAUAGAAUAAAUUGCCCAGUUGUUUCAUGUUAGAUUAUCUGCUUUGUUUCUGUAAAGACUCUAAUGCCACAAUAAAAAUCUUCGUAGCAACCUGA